ensembl:lncRNA
GUGAACCGUUGUGUUACAACCUAAUAUGGAGACAAUAGCAGAGAAACCAUAAUAGCCUAUUUAAGCCAUACAUUAUGCUGUAAAUGACUCUGCAACUGAGGGAAGGACAUCGCAUGUCCCACAGAGAGAUGAGAAGUCAGAUAAAGGGUGGAGGUGCAUGACUUCACCUUUUUCUAUUUUUUCCUUCAGGUAAGCUGCGUUUAAGGAAGUUACCUAGUAAUAAAUCCGCAUGCCAUACAAGCAUAUCUAGUUCUCUCACAUAAACACAUCCCUUUUCAGGUGUCUGCAAACCUCAGUCUAAGCCUGACAACACUUGAUGAAUGAUCUGAAAUAUGUUUUGAUCUUCUGAAGUCCAAUGAAGAAACAUGGAUUACAGAAAUACAGUACAUGUUCCUCAGCUUAGCAACGAAAUGCAGCUGAAUGUCAUGAACUGGGUGAAAUCAGGCAAAAUGAGUAUCGAUGAAGCUCUGAUUCGGGCUAACAAUGGCACGUUACACAAGCAGAGGAACUUUGAGCCGGAGAAAAAACAGUCACAGUACAACUUCAGUGUCCGCAAGUUCAACCGCUAUAUAUGGCAGAAACGGGUGCUGCAGAUUGAUUUCAGCACAAGCCUUUUGUGCAGCAUCGAGAAAGGCAUUGUGAAACGGCAGCUCUGUUUUUCUGAGGUGAAAAACUGCCAUGAUGCUCCAGGUACCAGGCUCUCCAUUUCGUUUAGAGAUCGGUCUGACUAUGAGCUGGAGGCUGCGUCCUUAGAGGACAAGCAGCAGAUCAUGCAGCUGAUAAAUCAGAUCAUCUACAGUAACAUAUACAGCCCUCUUGUGAACGGGUCUGAAGAAACAGAAUCUUUACCCUUGCCUCCAACUCCAGACAACCUCAAAGAGGGUCACAUUUUACUGCAGAGAGGAGGACUGGCAUCAUUCAAAUGGAAGAAGUAUGACCAUUUUUGACUUUGUUUUGUCUGGUUCUUGUAAUCAAGUGCUUAGAAGUUGUUAUACUAGUUAGACUGGAACAUAAUUCACAAACACCUUAUUAUUUUCAGAUCAUGUUUAGGCCAUGUUUGUUAGCAUUUUAGUUGUGCUUACUCAUUAUGACAGGCAUCCUUUUGACUCAUACUUUUUUUUUUUUUUUUUUAAUAAAACCCUAACUAUGAGUACUAAAUGAUAGUAU